AAAAAAAAAAAAAAAAAAUUAAAAGUUUUACCAAUCAGGUCGCAUCUAGAAAAACGCGCCCAGAAACGCGCCUAAACCGCAAUGCUUCAUGGGUUUGUAGUUUUUAUAUAUUGACACUUCCGGAUACAGCGCUGCCGAAGUUUGAACAUAAACAGGAGUUUGAAGUGGGCGCGCACUGAUGCACUUGACUGCAUUUCACUAACGGUUGCAGACUUCUCACCUCAAAGCCAGCGAAGUUUGGUUCAAGAACAAAAGAUCUGAGUAAAGCCACGGUAUGGAAAAGACUUGGAUGUACAAUGAUAGGGGUAAUUCAUGAAGAAGGGCAUUAAGGCUAGUUGGUAAA